GGAGGGUCAUUGGAAACUGGGGAACUUGAGUGCCCCUAAGAAAAGUGGAAUUCCAUGUGUAGCGGUGAAAUGCGUAGAGAUGUGGAGGAACACCAGUGGCGAAUGCGGCUUUCUGGUCUGUAACUGACGCUGAGGCGCGAAAGCGUGGGGAGCAUACAGGAUUAGAUACCCUGGUAGUCCACGCCGUAAACGAUGAGUGCUAAGUGUUAGAGGGUUUCCGCCCUUUAGUGCUGAAGCUAACGCAUCAAGCACUCCGCCUGGGGAGUACGGCCGCAAGACUGAAACUCAAAGGAAUUGACGCGGGGCCCGCACAAGCGGUGGAGCAUGUGGUUUAAUUCGAAGCAACGCGAAGAACCUUACCAGGUCUUGACAUCCUCUGACAACUCUAGAGAUAGAGCGUCCCCCUCCGGAGGACAGAGUCACGGGUGGC
rnacentral:rRNA from 2 species